UACGUAGGGGUCCGAGCGUUUGUCCGGAAUUAUUGGGCGUAAAGAGCUCGUAGGCGGUCUGUCGCGUCGAUCGUGAAAACUUGGGGGCUUAACCCUGAGCUUGCGGUCGAUACGGGCAUGACUGGAGUUCGGCAGGGGAGACUGGAAUUCCUGGUGUAGCGGUGAAAUGCGCAGAUAUCAGGAGGAACACCGGUGGCGAAGGCGGGUCUCUAGGCCGACACUGACGCUGAGGAGCGAAAGCGUGGGGAGCGAACAGG
rnacentral:rRNA from 1 species